GAGAAAGGAAGGCCUGCGGGCAGAGAAGAAACAAUGUAGUUCCUGUGUCACACCAAGGAGAAAAACUCUCGGCAAAGCCAUUACUCUCCUCCUUGGUGAGUGUGCGUGUGUGGGUUCUGGUGUGUGUUAUUGUGAGAGAGUAGAGAGAGGUUGAAGAAGAAGGGGAGUUGCGUGUGGCAGCCCCUCACAGUUUUAGUGUGUAUGUUGCUGCUACUUCCUGGAACUUGAGCACCUGACCUGAUCUUCCUCGACCCGGAGCAACAGCUCACCUCUCGGCGACUCCACGCGACGCACGGAUGGCCGGUCCCGGUGGCCGGCGAGGCGGUCGAGGCCGCGGUCCUGGGCGCCCGG